rnacentral:rRNA from 1 species
GACGAACGCUGGCGGCGUGCUUAACACAUGCAAGUCGAACGGAAAGGCCCUGCUUUUGUGGGGUGCUCGAGUGGCGAACGGGUGAGUAACACGUGAGUAACCUGCCCUUGACUUUGGGAUAACUUCAGGAAACUGGGGCUAAUACCGGAUAGGAGCUCCUGCUGCAUGGUGGGGGUUGGAAAGUUUCGGCGGUUGGGGAUGGACUCGCGGCUUAUCAGCUUGUUGGUGGGGUAGUGGCUUACCAAGGCUUUGACGGGUAGCCGGCCUGAGAGGGUGACCGGCCACAUUGGGACUGAGAUACGGCCCAGACUCCUACGGGAGGCAGCAGUGGGGAAUAUUGCACAAUGGGCGGAAGCCUGAUGCAGCAACGCCGCGUGCGGGAUGACGGCCUUCGGGUUGUAAGCCGCUUUCGCCUGUGACGAAGCGUGAGUGACGGUAAUGGGUAAAGAAGCACCGGCUAACUACGUGCCAGCAGCCGCGGUGAUACGUAGGGUGCGAGCGUUGUCCGGAUUUAUUGGGCGUAAAGGGCUCGUAGGUGGUUGAUCGCGUCGGAAGUGUAAUCUUGGGGCUUAACCCUGAGCGUGCUUUCGAUACGGGUUGACUUGAGGAAGGUAGGGGAGAAUGGAAUUCCUGGUGGAGCGGUGGAAUGCGCAGAUAUCAGGAGGAACACCAGUGGCGAAGGCGGUUCUCUGGGCCUUUCCUGACGCUGAGGAGCGAAAGCGUGGGGAGCGAACAGGCUUAGAUACCCUGGUAGUCCACGCUGUAAACGGUGGGUACUAGGUGUGGGGUCCAUUCCACGGGUUCCGUGCCGUAGCUAACGCUUUAAGUACCCCGCCUGGGGAGUACGGCCGCAAGGCUAAAACCCAAAGGAAUUGACGGGGCCCCGCACAAGCGGCGGAGCAUGCGGAUUAAUUCGAUGCAACGCGUAGAACCUUACCUGGGUUUGACAUGGAUCGGGAGUGCUCAGAGAUGGGUGUGCCUCUUUUGGGGUCGGUUCACAGGUGGUGCAUGGCUGUCGUCAGCUCGUGUCGUGAGAUGUUGGGUUAAGUCCCGCAACGAGCGCAACCCUUGUUCACUGUUGCCAGCACGUUAUGGUGGGGACUCAGUGGAGACCGCCGGGGUCAACUCGGAGGAAGGUGGGGAUGACGUCAAGUCAUCAUGCCCCUUAUGUCCAGGGCUUCACGCAUGCUACAAUGGCUGGUACAGAGAGUGGCGAGCCUGUGAGGGUGAGCGAAUCUCGGAAAGCCGGUCUCAGUUCGGAUUGGGGUCUGCAACUCGACCUCAUGAAGUCGGAGUCGCUAGUAAUCGCAGAUCAGCAACGCUGCGGUGAAUACGUUCCCGGG